rnacentral:rRNA from 1 species
UACGUAGGGCGCAAGCGUUGCCCGGAUUUAUUGGGCGUAAAGAGCUCGUAGGCGGUCUGUCGCGUCGAAUGUGAAAACCCGGGGCUCAACCCCGGGCCUGCAUUCGAUACGGGCAGACUAGAGUUCGGUAGGGGAGUCUGGAAUUCCUGGUGUAGCGGUGAAAUGCGCAGAUAUCAGGAGGAACACCGGUGGCGAAGGCGGGACUCUGGGCCGAUACUGACGCUGAGGAGCGAAAGCGUGGGGAGCGAACAGG